rnacentral:rRNA from 1 species
AAUAGAUACCCUGGUAGUCCACGCCGUAAACGUUGGAUACUAGGUGUGGCGGUUAUACCAAUGACUGCCGUGCCGAAGCUAACGCAUUAAGUAUCCCGCCUGGGGAGUACGGCCGCAAGGCUAAAACUCAAAGAAAUUGACGGGUCCCCGCACAAGCGGCGGAGCAUGCGGCUUAAUUCGAUGCAACCCGAAGAACCUUACCUGGGUUUGACAUCACGGGAAAAGCUGUAGAAAUACAGUGUCCAUUAGGGCCCGUGACAGGUGGUGCAUGGCUGUCGUCAGCUCGUGUCGUGAGAUGUUGGGUUAAGUCCCGCAACGAGCGCAACCCUUGUCCUAUGUUGCCAGCGGUUCGGCCGGGGACUCAUAGGAGACUGCCGGGGAUAACUCGGAGGAAGGUGAGGACGACGUCAAGUCAUCAUGCCCCUUAUAUCCAGGGCUGCACGCAUGCUACAAUGGCCGGUACAACGGGCAGCGACCCCGCGAGGGUGAGCGAAUCCUAAAAAGCCGGUCCUAGUUCGGAUUGAAGUCUGCAACUCGACUUCA